ACGGGUCUAUUGUGGGUCUCAGAGGGUUAAUUCAGCCUGUUCAAGGCGAGAGAGAUUCUUAUGAACACAUCAUGUUAAAUGGCUGUGAACACACACACACAGUCACAGAUGAACUCAGCUGAUUUCCUGUAAAUGGAGAGAGGAGGAGCCACGCUGACCAUGUGAUCCAGACUCAUGAGAACAGGAAGGAACCGAGAAAGAGUUCAGUUCAGUCAGCUCCAUUUUGUGUCGACGGAGCAGAAGGAUGAAGACUGUAGACUGAAGCAGGAGUUCAGUCCAGACCGAGAGCAGAGUCUCCAGUACCCAGCUGUCUGUCUAUGGAGAGUGACGGGUCCAAAGGGGAUCCUCCAGACUUCAGUAAUGAACCUAGACCCUCAGAGUCAAAAAAGAUAAAGAAGAGGAGUCAUGCUUCUGUGGAGGAGCAGAUGUCCAGAUCCAGAAGAAGACCUGGACCUCA